CUCAGAUCUGGGCUGAAUUUCAAGCAGGAGAAAAAUGUACAUGCAGAUCCUUUCUUGCAGUAAGGCUGCCAAGCUUAUGUCAUUGGUGUGAAGUCAUUCUGACAUUGAAAGGAGGAAGCAUCUUUCAAAGACCAAAUGAGCUCAGAGGCAAUUAAUGACCAAAAUGGAAGUUUAGAUUAAGUGGAGUUCUAAGGAAAGAACUCAUGUGAUGGCUGAGUAAAGGAGGGAAGUCUCUUCAAGGUUUAAGAGAUCAGUGUGUACAUUUGUGGCUUGUGAUGGUUCCAUUUACCCUAGCGUUCAUGGACAGGUGAACUAGCUUUAGUAACCAGAUCUUCAGCAAGGAGACCUUGAAUAAGCAGCAUGAAAGGUAA